CCUAAAAUUAUUUCCGUCUCUCUUCCUCUCAGUGUUCUCCUAUUGAACCCCUAACUGGCAUUCUUUUUUUUUCUUCGUUGAUUUACCCUCAGGUAUCACAUGUAUCUCAUCCUAACCGAUUAUUUUGAUUAACCAAGGUUUUUUAUCUGUUGCAGGUAAUUUAAGUUUUAUUUUUAGGAUUUAAAGCUCAGCAUUCUACUCAAAAGGGUUAGGGUAUCACCUCUCUUUUUUUCUUGGUUGAUUUACCUUCGGGUAUCGUAUAUGUCUCUGUUUGCAUCGUAAUGGAUUCAAUUAUUUUGAUAAAUUAAGUUUUUUUAUCUGUUGCAGGUAACAGGUUUUUAGGUUUGCUUUUUAGGGUUUUUAAGUUCGCAGGUAACAGGUUUUUAGGUUUGCUUUUUAGGGUUUUUAAGUUCGCAGGUAAUACAAGUUGCCAGAGAUUUAGAUUUUUUUCUCCAGAAUUCUUUUUAUCCUGACUCCUUAUCCUGCAUUAUGAUACCUACCGUUUCUUCUUUGUUCGUAGCUUAUUUGUUCAUAACAAAACGAUUUUUCUUAUUAAACAAUAAGAAAAAACACAGGAAAGCCAAAUCCUAGGAUUUUAUUCGAGAAUCAAUCACCCGAAGAAGAUAAAGAUGUAUCUUAAGUACUACAGCAAUGACAAUGGUGAUGAAGUUUACACUAUCAAGGGUUAUUCUCAAUAAUGGUUUUACAAACUUUCUGUACAAGAUAUUAAAAAUGGGCUUCGUGUACCCUUGGAUCAGAGUGUUAUCCAUGUUGCAAGAGAUUUACCAAGAGCAAAGCUUAGUGAUUUCACAGAAGGUAGACUCUUUUACAUUUGAAGAAGCAACGGGAUAAUAAAGAGAAGGUCAUGGAAAGAAUUCUGGUGAGGAACAGAAGAUUGUAUACUUCAUUCAACUGCUGGAAGCACUAGGUUACGUGCAAUUGAAGCUCAAAAUAUGAAUUAAGCAACUGAAGAUUGGCCAGGUUUGUUUCUGAAGCACGGACCCUGACAUAUGUACAAAUACAACGCACAUUGCCAACCAAAUUAGCGAACAAAUUUAGUGCGUAGCUGGAAGGAUAUGGAAGUCAUUUAAUCUUCAUCUUGCUCUUCGCAUUUUGGGGAUGAAUGUCAAUGAUGUUAAGGGUGCCAGGGGAAAGCCCUAAAGAGACCUCUUCGAUCACAUAAGUGUGCUAAGAUUGCCCGUGAGAAGGUCCUUACUGUAGAUAUAGAGAUGUGCACGUUUACGGUUAUUACUCAUGUCCUAAAGGCUUUGUCCUUUGUGUAUAGAUAUUACUGUUUAACUGUUGUUAUUAGCAAAACUACAUAAUGCUGCCAUUUCUAAGACCGUGCCAAGAUUGUACACUAUUUUCAAAAACAAUGUCACUAAUCAGAAAAUGUU